UACGUAGGGGGCUAGCGUUGUCCGGAUUUAUUGGGCGUAAAGAGCGUGUAGGCGGCCAGGUAGGUCUGCUGUGAAAACUCGAGGCUCAACCUCGAGACGUCGGCGGAAACCAUCUGGCUAGAGUCCGGAAGAGGAGAGUGGAAUUCCUGGUGUAGCGGUGAAAUGCGCAGAGAUCAGGAGGAACACCGGUGGCGAAGGCGGCGCUCUGGGCCGGUACUGACGCUGAGGAGCGAAAGCGUGGGGAGCGAACAGG
rnacentral:rRNA from 1 species